CCCUUAGAUGUUCUGGGCCGCACACGCGCUACACUGAAGGAGGCAGCGUGUACUCCUGGAUCGAAAGAUUUGGGUAACCCGCGAAUCUCCUUCGUGCUAGGGAUUGAGGUUUGCAAUUAUCCUUCAUGAACGAGGAAUUCCCAGUAAGUGCAAGUCAUAAGCUUGCGCUGACUACGUCCCCGCCCUUUGUACACACCGCCCGUCGCUACUACCGAUUGAAUGAUUUAGUGAGGACUUCGGACUGGGACCGAUGCGGCUUUCGGGCUGCGUCGGUAUUCUGGAAAGAUGUCCAAACUGUAUCAUUUAGAGGAAGUAAAAGUCGUAACA
rnacentral:rRNA from 1 species